rnacentral:lncRNA from 1 species
ACACGUCUCUCCUCUCCUCCUCCUCCUGACCUCGCCGCCCUCACCCACCACCCGCUCCCGCCGCCGGCUUUAAUGCCUCCGGGGACAAGCCCUCUCAAGCGUCAACGACUCAUCCACUGCUCCACCCGCGUGGGCGGCGCGUACGUAGACCCUAGCCGGCCUCUACCUGCUCGCUACAGAGCUCACGUACGUACGCGCGCGCGGUGGUGGUUGGCGCGCGCGCGCGUGCGGUGAGGCGUGGUACUAGUAUUAUUUAUUCGCUCCUGCCUCCUGGGGAGGUGGAGGAUGCUGGCGAUCAUGAGCUUGCUGCUGCCGUGGGAGGAGGAGGAGGAGACGACGGAGGCGGCGCCGGUGUUUUGAUCCGUCGCGCGCGCGCGGCGAGGAAGAGGUUGGAGACGUGGAGAGGAGUGGUCGUCUCGUUUCAGAUUCUUCUGCGCAAAUUCUGGUUACAACUAGAAGUUGCAGGACGCGAGAGGGUUGAUUGGUAAGAAGAAGAAGUGCUGUCAACUUUGAGAUAAAGGCAAAAUUACGAGAAAAAAGACUUUCAAGUUCUUUUGAGGAUGAGUGACCCUGGAGAGCCUUCUAAGCAUUCCCAAUGGAUGUCACACUGGACCAAAGGAAGCAGCAGUGCAGAGCCCCAAGUUGGCAGAAGUAAUGAUUCUCCGGAGGAUGCGAAAUAUGACAUUUGCGAGGACAAUUCUGGGCCUUCAAACUUUGAGAUCAUGAAAUCUAGAUUGUUUGAAAGGCUAAUGGUAGGAAUCAGCCAAGAAAGAGCUUCGUUGGAGCAUGGACAGAAGUUAAAUUCUAACAUGAAAGUAGUGGUAAAAGAUGCUCGCCGACACGCUGUGCAAAACCAAAUUGAUCAGGGAGACGGGCCAAUUCAAAAAUCUGUGAUGCAAAAAGAUGUCUUAUAUGCUAAGGCUGUUGUAUCAAAAUCACUUUCCAUUCAGAAGCUUUCAGAGUUAUCAGUGGAUUGUCAGAAACUUGCAGGUUCAGAUGACCUGAGUUCAGAGUGGAACCAUUUUCCUAUGCUUGCAAUCAACAGAAAAAUUGACUCCAUUCUCAACCCUAAGAGGAAGUCUGCAAAGAGUACUGGACCCAAUGACGUUUUUGUGCCAAAACAAACUCUGAAGCUAAACAUGACUACAGCUAAUCUGAUGGCAUUCUCAUCUCAGGAAUAUGAGCUGCAUUCUCAUCGAACAACCGACGAGACAAUGGAUCACUGCAAACAUGCAGGAGGCAUUGUAUCUCGCCUGGAAGAUCAUGCUGGUGUCAUGUUGAAUCCUGCAGAGCAAAAAUUAAAAGGUCAAUUAUUGCCAGCAACGUCAUGUUCGUGUAGCAAGGAUGACAGUAACUCAUCUGAUAGUCUAUUAGAUGAGCAGCAUACAAGCCGCUACAUUGCAGAUUCAGAUCAGGAACCAACCUGCAGAUCUCGUGAAAAAAGGUUGAAAUCUUCAGAAAACAAUGACACGAACUGUAAAAUUGGAAGUUGCUCCCAGAAUCAGAAGUCAAGAGCACCUGGACAUCAUAAACACAAAGGUUCUGCGGGAGUCAUGUUUCGUACGUCAGUACCUGGUAAAGAAUUUGAAGCUGCUGAAAUUAAUUGUUCCGACAAAAUUAAUCAGCGACAUCUGAAUACACAGAGAAUAGUAUCUGCAGCGAAUGUCACUGGCUCCUGCAUACCUGAUCCAGCUGCAGACAUAUCUACAGUAAAUGGUAGGGGGGAGGCAGUGACCCAGCCAUCGAGCAUAUCUGGAGAUUCAACUAAACGAAAAGCUCCAUAUUUAUUUGAAAUGCUAACCAUACCUUCCAAAGCUCAAAAUAUGAAUCCUGAAGAUUCACUGCCUUCAGGAAACUCGACUGCUUUUGGAGUUCACAUGUACGGCACAAAUAUUGGCAGUCAUCUAUUUGGAGCAAAUAACAAAUCAUCAACUGAAACUGAAAUAUUAUCCGGCGACAGUCAACAUGUUUCAAAAUCCUCAGCAGGCAUCGCCUCAUUGUUGGCACAAAAGGCAAAAUCCGAGCAGCUCGCGACUCUGUACAUGAAAGGAGCAUCAGGAUGCAAUGUGAAUGAACAUCAAGGUGUUUCCUCCAAGGCAAUUGUCGCCAAUAAGCAACAAUGCUACAAUCCAAGAACAGCACGCAUGGACUUAGAUCUCAUGCAAUUCCAGUUGAGCAGAAUGAGAAACCAAGAAUCACAAGCGCGAACCGAACCAGGCGACAGAUGGCUAAAACGCCUACAGAUUGACAGCAAGGACCCUCAUCAUCUUCCUUGCUCCAAGAGGUCAAAAGCUGGAGACGGAUCCGGUCGUCCAGUCACCGGAGGAGCAAGCAGCAUGGCACCCCGUUGCGACGGGAGCAACGACGACGACGACAUUGUUGACCGUGAUCAUAAGGAGGAACAAGGAUUGGAUGAAGGGGUGGAAAUUCAAGGCGGCCGAGAAGCAUCUCCUGUUCCGGCAAAGAGUGAUGACCGGUGGAUUGGGAGAUGGUGCCAGGGUGGUGUUCCUGUGUACCAUGAAGAUGAUCAUGAUCAGAGGAAGGAAGUAACAAAGCCUGAUCUUGCCGCCGGUGACUCCGGAGGACUUGAAGGUCAGUUCCCAAGCAUCAAGGCGAUGGCGAUGAUGGGACGAGCAAUGAGCAAGGUUCGGCCGUGUCAGCAAGAGAGGAGGGGAUCCUUCAUGGUGUGGAAGGCGUAGUAGGAGAGAU